CUCAGGUGAUGAAAAUGUUCCAAGACUAGAUUAAGAUGAUGGUUGUGCAACGUGGUAAAUUUGCAAAGGCAUUACACACUUACAAUCUAGGUAACUUUUGUGGUCUGAAAGUUACACUUCAAUAAAGUCAAAUUCUGUUAGUGAAAUAAAGAGAAAACAGAGCAAUAAAAUCUAGAUAAGCAUCAUCCAAGAAUAGCCACCUGGAGUAUUUCAAUGUCAAAUAGGAAAAGCAGGUGACAGAGCAAUUGAGAUAAAAGCUUGGCUCUCGGGCUUGGGCAUGGAGGACAGGUUAUUUUAAGCAGCAGUCCUUAUGUCAAUGAGUUCACAUCUCAGGACAGAGCUGUCCCUCUCCCCCUCUACUGAGUUUGCUCUGGCUGGCUGACCCAUCCUGGGAAUGUGCCCCAUGUCCACUGACUUCUCUGCGAUGAAGCCAAGGCCCCCUGCAGACACAGUCAGUCCUCCAGCACAGAAGCCAGCAGGGAGAGGUGGGGACAAGCAAGCUCCAUUUAAGGCUGGAAUGGACAUCAAGCUCAGCACUGCUGACAUUUGGGGCCGGAUCAUCCUUUCCUGUGGAGGCUGUUCCAUGCAUUGAGGACCUCUCCAUGCCUGGACUCUGUCCACUAGAUGCCAACAGGAUACACACACAUGUGGGGGGCCUUGCCCCCCCGCUAGAACUCUUGAGUGCCUUUUACGGACAUAUCCGGGCCUGCUGCAAAUCUACCCGGCAACAAGGAAGUAGCCCCAGUACCCUCCUCUUGCUCCUCCCCUCUAGCCCUACGGUAUAUAUGUUGUAACAGCUUCUGCAAUAAACGAGACUUGAUC
ensembl:lncRNA